AAGUCGUAACAAGGUUUCCGUAGGAGAACCUGCGGAAGGAUCACUAACACGUAUCCAAACGUUAAAACCCCCCCCGUGAACCUUCAUCCUGCUCUUGUAACCCGCGUAGUUCGCACGGAAAGUUGUACAGUUUAAUGUGAAGCUCAAUGUAAUACAUUGGGUAAAGAAACCGAACAACUGUUAACAAUGGAUAUCUUGGUUCUC
rnacentral:misc_RNA from 1 species